GCAGGAGUGGCGGAAUUGGUAGACGCGCUAGCUUCAGGUGCUAGUGUCCGUUAGGACGUGGGAGUUCAAGUCUCCCCUUCUGCACCA
rnacentral:tRNA from 1 species